CAGGAAAUAGUUUAAGGAUAAAAAUACUAACUUUGGGAGUUAGCGUUAAAAAGUAUUUUUUUUUCUGA
rnacentral:tRNA from 1 species